CUUUGACUACUUAGCUAACGACUGAACUCAUUGGGGCGGCAAAAAGCCCUCAACAACACUUAGACGCUGCUAGAGUGCUUUCAAGGCGGGAAACGAAAUGAACGGCGAACGGCGAAUGCUUCCAAAGCCUCUCGAGUUUCCGGCUGUUUCCUAGAUUGAAGUAGCCUUUCGUCGCCCUACCUUACCCUAAGAAGUCACUAUCAAACUGCUCGCCCUACUUAAAUACCAAAGGUUCGCGAAGCCGCUCCGCGUUACUUUAGUUUAGUAGGGCUUGCUUGCGACUGAAGGAAGUUGGGCUCCUAUUGAAAGGCUCUCCCUCCCUCAGCGACCGGCUUUCGAUACUAUAUAUAACUAUAACGUGACGCUGCCAUUUUUCCUU
rnacentral:lncRNA from 1 species